CGCGCCGCGGACGCCCGCACCGCAGUGUCGAGCAGGAGCCCGCCAUGCCCGGCCCGCGCCUCUCCCGCGCAGCCUGACAGCAUGGCCUACCCGACCGCCACCAUCACACGCAGCCACGCUCUGACGACGGUUGGCGGCAGCGCAGGAGGCGGCGGGCGCGCAGGCUCGCGCGGCGCCAGCUGAUACCAUGGGCGGCGCGCACCAGCCCGCAACUCCGGGGCCCAGCUCGCUGUUUAUAUUUUCCGACGAAAAUCUUAUUCGGAGAACAACAAAAUUUAUUAUCGAGUGGCCGCCUUUCGAGUACGCGGUGCUACUUACCAUCAUCGCCAACUGCGUGGUGCUGGCGCUGGAGGAGCAUCUGCCCAACGGCGAUAAGACCAUCUUAGCACAGAACCUGGAAAAGACCGAGACGAUCUUUUUAGGCAUAUUUUGUGUAGAAGCAUCGUUGAAAAUUUUAGCCUUAGGUUUUGUUUUACAUAAGGGAUCUUAUCUUAGGAACAUUUGGAACAUCAUGGAUUUUUUUGUUGUGCUAACGGGUAUCAUCACGCAGACGCCGAUGGUGCCCGAAGUCGACUUCAGGACCUUGCGUGCCAUUAGGGUGCUGAGGCCCCUUAAAUUAGUAUCGGGCAUUCCUAGUCUGCAAGUGGUCCUGAAAUCCAUAAUAAAGGCGAUGGCCCCGUUGCUGCAGAUAGGCCUGUUGGUGCUUUUCGCGAUUGUUAUCUUUGCCAUCAUCGGCCUCGAGUUCUACUCGGGCGCGCUGCAUAAGACUUGUUAUAGUUUAGAAGAUAUUAGUCAAAUAGCAAAUGAAGGUGACAGUGCAACACCGUGUAAUGCUGAUAACCAAACACUAGCUCCGUACGGGGCGAACGUUUGCAGAGAUGACAUCAGCACGUGUUUAGAGAAAUGGGAAGGGCCAAACAGGGGCAUCACGUCUUUCGAUAAUAUCGGCUUCGCAAUGCUCACUGUCUUCCAGUGCAUCACCAUGGAGGGCUGGACCGCCAUUCUCUAUUGGACAAACGACGCGCUGGGUUGUGCGUUCAACUGGAUUUACUUUGUGCCUCUAAUAGUAUUGGGUUCAUUCUUUAUGCUCAAUUUAGUUCUUGGUGUCCUUAGCGGUGAAUUUGCUAAAGAAAGAGAAAAAGUCGAAAAUAGACAAGAAUUUCUUAAGCUACGAAGGCAGCAACAACUUGAGAAAGAGCUCAACGGUUAUGUUGAGUGGAUAUGUAAAGCUGAGGAAGUUAUAUUAGCGGAAGAAAGAACAACAGAAGAAGAAAGAAUGCAUAUAAUAGAAGCACGGAGAAGAGCAGCUGCCAAAAAGAAAUUAAAAAAUUUAGGGAAAAGUAAAAGCACUGACACAGAGGAAGAAGAACAAGACGAGGAAUGCGGGGACGACGGUUUUCUGAAAGGAAAAUCGAGGUCGCCUGGCAAAUGCGCAGAUUUCUGGCGUGCUGAGAAGAGGUUUCGGUUUUGGAUUAGGCAUACGGUGAAAACCCAGUGGUUUUAUUGGUCGGUCAUCGUAUUGGUGCUCUUCAACACGAUAUGUGUCGCCGUCGAGCACUAUAAUCAGCCUGAAUGGCUUACUUCAUUUUUAUAUUAUGCAGAGUAUGUAUUUCUUGGUUUGUUUAUGAUGGAAAUGAUAGUUAAAAUGUACGCACUGGGUCCACGAAUUUACUUCGAAUCUUCUUUCAACCGUUUCGACUGCGUUGUCAUUUCCGGCUCAAUCUUCGAGGUUGUGUGGUCGGAAGUGAAGGGCGGUUCCUUUGGUCUUUCUGUCUUGAGAGCUCUAAGACUGCUGAGGAUAUUCAAGGUCACAAAGUAUUGGUCAUCAUUAAGGAACCUGGUGAUAUCUCUACUGAACUCAAUGAGGUCUAUCAUUUCGUUGCUGUUCCUGCUGUUCUUGUUCAUUCUUAUCUUCGCUCUACUCGGCAUGCAGCUCUUCGGAGGACAGUUCAACUUCGAGGAGGGCACGCCGGCGACCAACUUCAACACCUUUCCUAUUGCGUUGCUCACUGUCUUCCAGAUUCUCACAGGUGAAGAUUGGAACGAGGUUAUGUAUCACGGCAUCCAAUCUCAAGGAGGUAUUCAGAAGGGCAUGCUGUACUCAUUGUACUUUGUCGUUCUGGUCUUAUUCGGCAACUACACAUUGCUGAACGUGUUCCUUGCCAUCGCUGUCGACAACUUGGCUAAUGCCCAGGAACUGACAGCCGCCGAAGAGGAACAAGUCGAGGAAGACAAAGAGAAGCAGCAACAAGAAUUGGAGAAAGAGAUGGGUGCGUUACACGCGUUGGACGGGACUCCACCUGGAGUUGACUUAAGUCCGUCGUCGCCGGCGAGUAGGAAGAAUAAAAAGAAAGAAGAGGCCAAAAAAGAUGAAGAUGAAGAGAUACCAGACGGACCAAAACCAAUGCUGCCAUAUUCGUCCAUGUUUAUUUUAUCACCUACUAAUCCAAUAAGGAGAGGCGCACACUGGGUUGUAAAUUUAAGAUAUUUUGAUUUUUUUAUCAUGGUAGUUAUAUGUAUGAGCUCUGCAGCUUUAGCAGCCGAAGAUCCCGUACGCGAAAAAAGCAAAUGGAACGAAAUAUUAAAUUACUUCGAUUACGCGUUCACGGGCGUUUUCACUGUGGAGAUGCUGCUGAAGAUCAUCGAUCUUGGCAUCCUGUUCCACCCGGGCGCCUACCUCCGCGACCUCUGGAACAUCAUGGACGCCGCCGUCGUGAUCUGCGCCCUCGUCAGCUUUGGCUUCGAGAUCGGGGGCGUUAAAAGUGGCGCGGGUCAGAAUCUGUCGACGAUAAAGUCGUUGAGAGUGUUACGUGUGUUAAGACCGUUGAAAACUAUAAAACGUGUUCCAAAACUAAAAGCAGUGUUCGACUGUGUCGUGAACUCUUUGAAGAACGUCAUUAACAUUCUCAUUGUGUACAUAUUGUUUCAAUUCAUAUUCGCCGUAAUCGCGGUGCAACUUUUUAAUGGUAAAUUUUUUUUCUGCUCGGAUAUCAGUAAGAAUACGAAGACAGACUGCCAAGGGUCGUACUUCGUGUACGAGUCGAACAGCUUACUGCCGCGCAUCCACAGGCGGACGUGGACGACGCAGUCAUUCCACUACGACAACGUCGCCUCCGCCAUGCUGACGUUGUUUGCUGUACAGACGGGCGAAGGAUGGCCGCAAGUACUACAGAACUCGAUGGCCGCAACGUACGAAGAAAGGGGACCCAUACAAAAUUUUCGUAUAGAAAUGUCCAUAUUUUAUAUAGUUUACUUCGUGGUGUUUCCGUUCUUCUUCGUUAACAUAUUCGUAGCUCUGAUUAUUAUAACGUUUCAAGAGCAGGGCGAAGCGGAAUUGCAAGACGGCGAAAUCGACAAAAAUCAGAAAUCAUGUAUAGACUUCACGAUAGAAGCGAGACCUCUCGAAAGGUACAUGCCAAGUAAAAGAGCGAGUUUUAAGUACAAAGUUUGGAGAAUAGUCGUUUCCACGCCCUUCGAGUAUCUCAUCAUGACCCUCAUUGUCCUCAAUACGUUAUUGCUCAUGAUGAAGUACUAUCAUCAAAAUGACGACUACGCGGAUUUCCUCAAGUAUUCGAAUAUGGGGUUUACUGGAAUGUUUUCCGUGGAAACGGUGUUGAAAAUCAUCGCUUACGGUGUGAAAAAUUUUUUCAAAGACCCGUGGAAUACUUUUGACUUCAUCACGGUCAUUGGAAGUAUUAUUGACGCCUUAAUUAUGGAGUUUGGCGAGAACACUUUCAACGUCGGCUUCCUUCGCUUGUUUCGGGCCGCUCGACUGAUCAAGCUGCUCAGACAGGGUUACACCAUCCGGAUACUUCUCUGGACGUUCGUGCAGAGUUUCAAAGCCUUACCCUACGUGUGCCUUCUCAUCGCGAUGCUGUUUUUCAUUUACGCCAUCAUCGGAAUGCAGGUGUUUGGAAAUAUAGAAUUAACGCCCGAGCAAGACAUAAAUAGGCAUAAUAACUUUCAGAGCUUUAUUCAAGCCCUGAUGCUUCUGUUCAGGUGUGCCACAGGUGAAUCGUGGCCUAAUAUAAUGUUAGCGUGCCUCAAACCAGCCAAAUGUGACGGGCGCGCUGGCAAACCGCCACACGAAGCUUGCGGAAGCACCCUCGCUUAUGCAUACUUUGUAUCGUUCAUUUUCUUUUGUUCAUUUCUCAUGUUGAAUUUGUUCGUCGCCGUAAUUAUGGAUAACUUUGAUUAUCUAACGAGAGACUCGUCGAUUCUCGGCGCCCAUCAUCUCGACGAAUUCGUCAGGAUAUGGGCCGAGUACGAUCCAAACGCAACAGGGAAAAUUCAUUACACCGAAAUGUAUGAUAUGUUAAAAAACAUGGAUCCCCCGUUGGGGUUUGGAAACAAAUGCCCGAACAGACUUGCGUAUAAGAAGCUAAUUAGAAUGAAUAUGCCGCUAGAUGAAGAAGGAAAAGUUAACUUCACCACAACACUGUUUGCCUUAAUAAGAGAAAAUUUAAAUAUCAAGAUGAGAUCUGCUGAAGAAAUGGAUCAGGCAGACGAAGAACUCAGAGAAACAAUAACCCACAUAUGGCCAUUACAAUCGAAGAAGAUGCUCGACUUGCUGGUGCCUCGAAAUGAUGUCCUCAACCAAGGAAAACUAACAGUUGGAAAGAUCUAUGCUGGCCUUUUGAUUUUAGAGAGCUGGAGAUCAACUAGAUUUGGCCAGACAGAACCACGGGGUGACCAGGUUUUGGAACUCCCAGGAUCACACCACGCGUCAAUGGAAUCAUUAGAUGAAGGAAGGCUACAAGCCCCGCAGACUUACCAGAACGGACACCACGGUAGAUCGUCCAGCUUAAGUGACAUCGAAGAAGAGAAUGAUCUCAAAGUUGUCGUAGUGACAAAUGACGCACGCCAAGUCCAAGAAGAAGAGGGCAUUACGGAGGUUAUCAUCACGACAUUGGCUUCUCAGACACCGUUAGCAACGUCGUCGAGAUAGUCAAGCAUGAGCACCAGAGACACGGGCGAGCGCAUCGAGCACCUCAUCACUACUACCCACAUGGGAAGGAGUGGAGGGCGCCGCACCCCACGACCAGCCUGAGCCAGCCCUCGCGAUCGCCCAGCCCGCCACAUCACACCUACG
rnacentral:misc_RNA from 1 species